CGAGCGGCCAAAGGGAGCAGACUGUAAAUCUGCCGUCAUCGACUUCGAAGGUUCGAUUCGAGCGCAGCGAGAAAGCGUUGCCGUAGGCAACGACCCGAAGGGC
rnacentral:sRNA from 1 species